UUCUUUCCCUGUCUAAAUAUAAAUAUCAUGCUCUAAUCAGUUUUCAAUUGAUGUGCCUCUCAAGAAACAUAUUUCUUGGUUUUUCUCUUGAUUCUCUCACUUGUUCUCAAGGAUUGCUUAGCUUUCGUAGCAAAUUGACAUUUGCUGAUAAUCUUGCAUCUCAAUUUCAUUUGUUGCUGUUAAUUGUCAUUCUAAUUUUGUAGCAAAUGGACAACCAAAUUUCCUUUCCUCAAUGCUGCUGUCAAUUGUGAUAUAAUCUUAGUUUUUCCUGUUGCAAUCAAUUCUUGUGGAAAGGGUUCUGAUGUGAGACUAACUGUAGAUAUCUUAUUGUAAUUGUUUUUCAUUAAUGUUUGAAGGUUUAAGAUUCUCAAAUCACUACUUAGUUUUAGCACUCAUGGACAUUCCUCAAUUUUAUUAAGAUACUUGCAAUGCAUUCUUAUAUAUAUAAGCUCCAAGUGCAUUAAAUGAGAACAAAAUUAAACUUAGUGCAUCUUGCUUUGAUAUUCGAUUUUUUAAAUAAUACAUUUGCAAUCUAGUUCAUGAGAAAGGAAACUCUCUUCGUGAAAAAAAUGAAGGGAAGGAGCAGGAAACAGAAUCCACCUCUGGCUCUUGGGGUCCAGGAAAACUUACAACACUCUUAAUAAGAAAUGAGUUUCCAUGAUGAGAGGAAGAUGUAGAUGUUGCAUUAGUAUUAUUGAAUAAGGAUAGGCAAAGAAAAUUAUAUAUGUGGGUGGUAUAAUUAGAAAUCUAAAUGGCCCAUGAUAAGCAUGUUCUCUUAGAUUCCCCAUUUCAUGAUUACUCUUGAAUCAACGUUGUGCCUUGUUUUGAUUUAGCAAAUAUUAUUUUUAACUACAUGUCCCAUUUUGAAUACUCCAUGUAGUCCAAAGCUGCUGCAGGUGACCUUUCUAUCAAAACAUAGGACUGUACAUGAAUGAGGAACUAAUCAUAUAGACUCCACACACAAUCCAAAGAUAUAGAAUCGCUUGUUAUAUAUGAAUAUGAAGGUCCAUCUCAUGGAUUGGAUCAGUCAAAAGGGAAAAGUUCUAUAUUUAUUUUAAUUUUGGAAGGUAUGUUUUUCUAUUGAUUUUACAGGAGAUGCAAUUUAUGUAGAUUGUGAGAAGAGUAAAUGUCAUCAGUGGGAGUGGAGAAUCUGACAGACAUUAAUAACAAGUGAAGGUGUUGGAGAAUAGAUUGAUUGCAAAAAAUAAAAAAUAAAAGGGGUCGAUGAGGCUGCUUCUUUGUCAUGGUGAUUUCAUUUUCAAACUUUAUGAGAGCUCUACUUGACAGAUAUAUAUAUAUAUAUAUAUAGAACAUAGAAAAGCAUGAUGAUGUAGCAUUAAGUCCCAUUUCACACGCUUGUGUGUGGAUGUGGAUUACACUGAUGUGAAUUUGCAUCAGUAUCGAUCAGUUUGGAAAGAUUGGGUGGCUCUAAUUUAGCCUGACAGCAAUUAUGUGCAUGAUAGCAACUUACUUUUACUUCAUCCAUUUCCCUCAUGUCCCUUUCCUUAUGCCAACUAGCUUCCAAGUGGACAAAGUGUACAACAAAUUUGAGGUCUUUAUUAUUAUUUUCCCUCCCUCUCUUUUGGGCAAGAGAUCUGAGGUUUUGUUAAAGCUUAUGGUACAACGGUUCUUUAUGGAUUCAUGGUAAUGAUAUGCUUCAAACUCAUACCCUAAUAGGGCUUUUAUUACUGGAUGCUUGUAUCUUGUGUUACCAAAGUUCAAAGACAUAAUCCUACAUCUGUUUCUAUUUUUUGAUUUUAGUGCAAUGGCUUGAAAAGGGGAGCAAGGCAUUUCAACCAACUUAUUUAUAUACAAUAUGGAGAAGGUGGCAGCAGCUACUUUUAGUUGUUGGAUAUAAUACUAUUUUAUUGAAUGGAUUGUUAACUUCUUCAAGUCAAGUGUGAGCGUAAGUGUUUGUGUUUUGCAUCAAGUUGGUAUUAGAGCAAGGCUCUGAACGCUCUUAGACUGUUCCCACUGCUAGAGAUGGAAGAAAACUCACUAGGAAGCCCAGCAUACUCUGUUUCACGUUGCCAGAGCCCAGAGCCACACUUCAUGCUCAGGAGGGGAAAUCCGGUCAGAAUUAGAAAACCCACCUCGUCCAUAGCACAAGGUGCUGUCAUGCCCGAGAGGAGUCUCCUGCGCAUGGUCUUCACGCGCACACGCGUUGUCCAUGCAACAUCUCUAGUAUAUUUGCUGUUUUCAAGGAGUUUCUUUGGUUCUGAUCAACCUAAGGGCCCGGAAUCAUCAUCCAAAGCUUUAUUUAGGGUAAAAUUUCAUCUUGUGGCUUUCACAGCUUGCUGGCUUAUCUUAUGUGCGAGAAAUCAUUUUUGGAAUUUUAUUUUUUGUUCAUUAUGUCCAGAAUCCUUAAAAGUGAUCUUGAGGAAUCUAAAAGGGUUUAAAAGGAAUAUGUGAAUCACAAAAUUCAAGAGUUGAAGGGGUAUAUGAAUAGUAAGUUUGACAAAGUCUUAAGGGAUCUCAAAUGUUUAAGCCAUCAAAGGGGCAUGAAGAUAACUUUUUCAAGACAGAAUUAUGAUAUCUUCAAGGCACAAGAAAAUGGUAUCCUCAUCAAAAAAGUUACAUCUAUAUCAGUUAUACCAAAAGGGGAUACUAAUAGUAUUCAUAGUCCUGUAAUUGGGAGUGAAGCAGUCCUAUGAAAAAUGGGCGCAUUAAUAUUAAAGUGAAUCAAGGCUUUAAAUUGUUGUCUAAAGAUCAUCACUUAGAGGUAGUGGAGACUUAUGAGUGGAAGCCAGUAAGUGAUCUUGACAAGAGUGUUCAACUUUAUCAGAUUCUUACUUUUAAUCAUCUAUAUGUGCUACACCAUUUACUGCAAAAGCUGUUUUGGUUAUGAAAGAACAUAUUAUUUUUCCAUUUGAUAACAACUUCUAUAGCUACCUUGUUCAUCGGGAAGGUUUUCCAAAUCAUGAUGAUCAUAUUGCUUACUCUCCACACGGUCUCAUUCUCCACUACCUUGUAUGUUGGAAAGGGUCUUCAGACUAAUUGCUACUUCAAAGGAUUCCCUACACCAUGCCCUAGCGGAGUUACUUCAUUUUUUUUUUACUCCCCGAAGGAGAGCUCCAUCAAACAAGGGAGAAAUGAUGAAUAUAGGAAUUCAUAUAUUUUAAAGAAGCUUGCUAUAAGAGGAAAUCUAUCUUAAUUUUAUAUUUUAAUACUUUUUGUUUUUAACUCUAUUUAGCAAGUGGGUUGUUUUAUCAUUUCAUGUAUUAAAUGGGCUACAAGUGGAUGUUUCCUUAUAUGGGAGGAAACCUCUAGUUUAUAUAUGGACGCUUUUGCAA